AACGUAGGAGACAAACGUUAUCCGGAGUUACUGGGCGUAAAGGGCGUGUAGGCGGUUAGUUAAGUCUGGCGUGAAAGCUCUCGGCUAAACCGGGAGAGGUCGUUGGAUACUGGCAAACUAGAGGACGGUAGAGGCGUGUGGAAUUCCGGGUGUAGUGGUGAAACGCGUAGAGAUCCGGAGGAACACCAGUGGCGAAGGCGACACGCUGGGCCGUACCUGACGCUAAAGCGCGACAGCAUGGGGAGCAAACGGG
rnacentral:rRNA from 1 species